UAGGGAAUCUUCCACAAUGGACGCAAGUCUGAUGGAGCAACGCCGCGUGAGUGAAGAAGGUUUUCGGAUCGUAAAGCUCUGUUGUUGGUGAAGAAGGAUAGAGGUAGUAACUGGCCUUUAUUUGACGGUAAUCAACCAGAAAGUCACGGCUAACUACGUGCCAGCAGCCGCGGUAAUACGUAGGUGGCAAGCGUUGUCCGGAUUUAUUGGGCGUAAAGCGAGCGCAGGCGGAUUGAUAAGUCUGAUGUGAAAGCCUUCGGCUCAACCGAAGAACUGCAUCAGAAACUGUCAAUCUUGAGUGCAGAAGAGGAGAGUGGAACUCCAUGUGUAGCGGUGGAAUGCGUAGAUAUAUGGAAGAACACCAGUGGCGAAGGCGGCUCUCUGGUCUGUAACUGACGCUGAGGCUCGAAAGCAUGGGUAGCGAACAGG
rnacentral:rRNA from 1 species